UAUAUAUAUAGAAGUGAGCUCCUAUAUUUUUAAAAGUACCAAUAUUGUCCUUGUAGGUUUUAGCCAUUAGAUAAGAGAUAUGCGGUUAGGAUUAAUGUGGGCCUCUAGGGUUGAGUGAGGUGGUUGGUUGAAUAGUAUAUCAAUGGCUGAAAAGAUCCGAAGAAAUAGAUCUAACGGUAAAAACUUACAAGCACUAAGUGCUUGGUCGCGUGGGAUGAUCUACUUCCUGGUUGUGAGGCCAUAGCGUCAAAAAUUAUAAUUUAAAUUUAUAAAUUGAUAGAGUUAAUUUAUGAAAAAAAUUUUGUUAAGGUUCCAAAUACAAAAAAAAAAAAAAAAAAAAAAAAAAAAAAAAAAAAAAAACUCUAAGAUAGAAUAUAAUUUUAAUACAAGCACCAUAGCUGAGCUAUAUAUAUAUAUAGUAAUAUAUAUAUAUAUAUAAUUAUAUAUAUAUAUAUAAAGGAGAAUUGAAAAAAAAAAAUACCAACUGCAAAAAAAUUAAAGGCUCACAGCAAGUCCAGUUGAAGGAGGCGGCAUAGGUAUUGCUUGCUUGAGCCUUCCACUGGCAAUCUGCCGACAAAUACCAAUUUAGUUUCAGAUAAAAGAUUGAUAAAAAUAGUAAUUAUAAAUUUUACGUUUACAAUGUUUGCUCUUAUAGAAAAUGUUGGAUUUUGACACGGUUUCGAAAAAAUGAAUAGAUAAGUAAGUAAUCAGAUUUUAGGGAUGUUCGGAGAAUUAUGAGUUUAAUGAUUAGCAUAAGAUGGACAAAUAAAACUAUUGAUAUCUUCUGAAAUAUUACCAACCGUUUCUAGAGCAAGUGGCAAAGGGCUUGGUGGUUGGUACCCAGGACCCAAGUUCGAAUCCUAGUUUAUUCAUAUUUCCAGCUAAGUUUAUUUCUAAAUGAAAUAAACGAAGCAGGUAGCGUGCUACCUAUCUCUCAAAAAAAAAGAAAAAAGAAAAAAAGAAAAAGAUAUCUUUUGAAAUAUUUAGAAUAAUAUUAUCGGAAGUUGAUAUAUAAGACAAAUAAGAGGAAAUAAAGAAUUCUACACAGGAGUGUGCACCGUCAUAAUCUUCGAUUUUCAGUAUGCUCGGCAUCUAAUCCAGUCAACCAUGAUCCAAGUGAAACAUCUGGAAUUGCUGUAUAGAAAAAAUUAAUGAAUGAUCUAUUAUAUAGCCAACAAAAGAUAAUAAAAAGACUGUAAAAUAAUUCUUCGGAUUCAACGAAUAUAGAAAUCCGAUGCGGCGGAAGAUCAGAAGAGCAGAGAAGACAAUAAAUCAUAAUCCUUUUUUGGUAAGAGAGAAAAACGGGAACGAUACGCCGCAAUUCGAAAUAACAGGGGCGGAAGAAGGUUUGAACCCAGUCGGAGUGACAACUCUAGGGCAGCAAACCGAGGUCUAAGGAUGCAUGAACCUAUUUGAUCAAUAAGAAGAUAGACCUAUUCAAUGAAAACAAAUUAGUAGCCGAUUUAUCUUCUUAUGAGUGAACUGGAAAUAAAUGAGUAGGUAAAAACUGCUAGAUGGGAUCAAAGAUUCUAUAAUUUAUAAACUUAAAUUUAAGUGAUAGAUAGGUCCCGUAUAAGUCCGAAUUAACAAAAUACUAUCACGUGCACAAAGAUUAUAAGAUUUAAUAUAGGUUUAUAGAAGAUAUAUAUAUAAAGGAGAAUUAAGAAGGUUACAUGUCCUAUGUCUUCCGGUGGUAUAUGUCUACGACUGCUACUUGUCAACUGCCUUGGCUGAUCACUUUCGUCCGAAUCUCCUGUUUUGUUAUACCCUUGAAGCUGUCACAAUAAUUUUAUAAGGCUUUCCGUAUUUCUAUACGUGUGAGAAAAUAAAGCUUCUGUACGUAUAUGGCUAAAAUUUUCGAGUUAGAGGAGUUGAUCAAAGCAAGCAAUGAUUAUCUAUAUAUAUAUAUGCUGCAAAUGUAAGCAUAUCUCAUCUGCCACGCAAAGACAAUGAUGUUACAUAACUAGAAAAUUUCAAAUCCAAAGUUACAAAUGGAGUUUCAAAGUAAGAAAUAUACAAGAAAGAGACAUCCUAGCUCACCUAAUCAGGUCUUGAGAGCUAAUUGUUUGACAUGGAUCUUAAUAUGUAGCUCCUUGUUUGAAAAUAUGAGAAUACAUAGUAAAAAAAUAUUGAAAUAGUGCACAUACACCAACCGUCCCUAGAGCAAGUGGCAAAGGGCUUGGUGGUUCGUACCUGAGACCCAAAUUCGAAUCCUAGUUGAUUCAUAUUUCCAGCUAAGUUUAUUUCUAAAUAAAAUAAAUGAAGCAUGUAGCGUGCUACCUAUCUCUCUCAAAAAAAAAAAAGAAAAAAGAAAAAGAAAUAGUGCACAUACAAAUAUGGUAAUUAAUUUGAUGCAUCAUAUAUCGACCGUUCCUAGAGCAGGUGGCAAAAGACUUGGUGGUUGAUAUCCGAGACCCAAGUUCAAAUCUUAGUUGAUUCACAUUUCUAGCUAAGUUUAUUUCUAAAUAAAAUAAACGAAGCUGAUAGCAUGCUACCUAUCUCUCAAAAAAAAAAAAAAAAUUGAUGCAUCGAUCAUAUCGUGCCAGCAAUGCACUUUGUUAUCUUACCCUUUGCAAAAAUAUGUGGAUCCAUUUGGACAAUAUAUAUAGAGGAAACAUUUUGAUAUUCUUCUUAUGUUACAAAAAUAAGAAUAUAUAUUUGCAAAAAAAAUGUUACAAAAAUAUAAAAUUGUGAAUAUUUGCACAACUCUUAUUAAUUUUGGAAAUGGGCUUAACAGGGCCACGACGAUUUACCUGUUCUUUUGUUUAUGCGUCUUCAAGUUUCAACACUAAUCUUCCUGCAAUGUGGAGAGGAGAAACAAGCAAGAAUAAUAUGAAAGCCAGAGUAAUAUGAGUGCUUAAUUUUGUAAUUUAUAUUUGGAGCCACGAAAAUACAAUAUAGCCCAAAAAUGUUUCUAAUAUAUAUAUAUAUGCACCAUGUAGCAUAUUGAUUGCUCCGGAGUUUCCGUGGUAACCGUUCUCUCCAUGACAUGUUUGACUUCUAUAAUAGGCUUUGGUCCUUAUCUCAGUAUAUCCCCAUCUUAGCGAAAUUCAUAUGAUACAUUGCACCUCAAUUAUUUUCCCUAAAACGGAAUGACUACAUUCAUUAUCUUUCGUCUAUAAGAUGCAAUGGUUUGACGUCUCAAAUACGUUAGUUUUUUUAAUCUUUUAUAAAGAACGUCUUUUACCUGCUGACAUAUUAUGCCAGUAAUUUAUUGUGCUAUUAAUAUCUGCUUGGUUCGGCAGUGCCGUAGUAGACCAAAUUGUUAAGGUGACUAAUAAACUUUUCAUAGUUGGGAGCCAUUCGAAAAUACUGGCUUUUAUAGUUACACGUCGCAUAACAUCUUUUUUCGCACUUAAGAUUGUGUUUACUUGGGAAACGAAAAAAAAAAGCUCUUAUUUUCUUCUCAAACACUAUUUUUUUUAUUCUUAAUUGGCAUAAUAUGUAUUACUUAAGAACAACUAUUCCACCAUUCUUUCUGAAACAAAUUUGUUACUAAAUGAGAAUAACAUUAAUUAAAGUCUAAUUUAUUUUUAAUUAUAGUAUUUAAUUAUUAAUUAAUCAAAUUAAUGUAUUUAAGUCAUUAUCUAUUGCUUAAAUAGUUAAGUAAUUAUUUAAUUUAUUAUUUAUGAUUAAUUAACUAAUUGAAAAUUAAUAUUUUAAUCAAUUUAUUCAGUAACCAAUAUUUUAUAUUGAUUAACCAUUAUUAUUUUGACUAAGUUAUUUAAUUUUUAACUAAUUAUCUACUUAAGAUAAUUUACUGAUUAAUUAAAAAGUUAAGUUAUUUUUAUAAUUAACUAAUAUUUCGUUUGGAAUUACAUGUGGUAAAAAGGUACGAUGAAAAAAUAUUCUGUUUGUUUCGUACGUAAUACCGAGUCGGUAAGAAUAUAUUUUUUUACAGUCAUGUCGAAAAAUAUAAAAACAUAUCUCUAUAUAUUUUUAUUUUAAUUUUAUUUUAUCCAAUAAUGCGGUAUAGUUCUCCAUACCAAAAUAAAUUCAAAUAACACGAAAAUGUAUCACGAGAUAAUUUAUCGGUUUUCAGUCUACUGACGCAACUGCUGACGCUUGGCCGACCAUUCGCAGCGUCUGGUACUCUGCCCUCCAGUCUGGCUGUUCAUCUGUUUUUUUUUUUUUUUUUUUAAAAAAAAAAUUGUUUGUUGGUGUUUUAGUUUUCGACGACUUUGAGCCGGCGGCGGUUGGGGGUGGGGCACCAGUCAUUUCCCACUUCCGUCGGCACUCACGUCUGCCUACCCCUCACCUUCCCUCCCCUCGCUCACUACAUAUCUCUGCCUGCUGCCCUCACUUCUGCUGCUGCGGCACUCCCCAUUGCCUCAUCGCCGCCUUGCCUUCCCUUCCUUCCCUCCGCGAUCAAAACACCAAAAAUUUGAGAUUUGAUUGGGAGAGAAAGAAAGAAAGAAAGAAAAGAAAGAUGAGCGGAGUGGGGAAGUUGGUGUGCGUGACGGGAGCGUCCGGCUACAUCGCCUCCUGGCUGGUCAAGCUCCUCCUCCGCCGCGGCUACACCGUCCGCGCCUCCGUUCGCGACCCCUGUACCCCCUCUCUGUGUUCUUAUAUCUGCAGACCUCAGAUAGUCCUUUAUAUAAUAAGACUAAAAUUUUUAAUCCGGUUAUAACACGUGAUUAAGAAGAUUAAACGUGCUAGGGCUAGAGUAGUUCUAGAAUGGAUGGCUCCCGAGAAGUUGGAGUGGCACAAUAUCUCUCUCUUCUUCUUCUUCUUCUUAUUAUUUUUUUUGUCUUUUUUUUUUUUUUCCUCCACAAGCAAAUCUACGAGGGCCUGAAGUUGCCCUAAAUCAUGUCCUGUGUUUUUUGUUUUUGGGUUUCUCUGAACAAAAAAUUAGUGUGUUUAUUAUUAUUAUUAUUUUUGGUACUUUUGUUAGUCUUGGCUAGCAUGUAAAAUUGGAUCUUCCAACCAGUAAUCUAGUCUUUUAUUCUCUGCUUCUUUUUUAGUCCUGUACAAGUGUCAUUAUGUAGAAUAUGAAGAAAAGAGCGAAUUUAUGGUUUAGAACUCUAGAUGUAAAAGAUUGGUGGGUUCAUCAGCUGCAUUCGAAUUUCGACUGUAUGAGCUUUUUAUGGAAUUGAUUGCUAAUUGUGAAUGUUCUAUUCUGUAUUGAUGAUAGCUGAUCCGAAGAAAACUGAACACCUCCGUGCGUUGGAUGGAGCCAGCGAGAGGCUGCAUUUGUUCAAAGCAAAUCUGUUGGAAGAGGGCUCUUUCGAUUCUGUUGUCGAAGGUUGCGAAGGUGUUUUCCAUACAGCAUCUCCUUUCUAUCACAAUGUUACGGACCCCAAGGUUUGUAUCACGAUCUGUUCUGAUAACUAUUCAAAAGCUCACAAUUAAAUCUGGAAAUAAAAUGGGCUCGUGAAUGCGAUAUGAUGAAUCCGUAAAUUUGAACUAUGAUUUGGUUAUUAAAAAAAAAAAAAAAUGAAUUUCAACUUGUAGGCCGAGCUAAUUGACCCAGCACUGAAGGGCACACUAAAUGUUCUGGCUUCCUGCACCAAAGCCUCUUCCAUCAGACGGGUGGUCGUAACAUCCUCUAUGGCUGCCGUGAUGUAUAAUGAAAGACCGAGAACUCCUGAAGUUGUAGUGGACGAGACAUGGUUUUCUGAUGCGCAGUUUGCCGAGAAGUCUGAGGUAUGUGGCGAUCCUUGCAGGCUAGGUUGACUGAAGUUAGUGCCCAUGAUUAUCGAUAAUAUCAUGAACUGUAAGCAUUAGUUAGUUGGCUUUGCGUUUGAGCACUUGGAAGUAAUUGUCGUCAUUUUUCAUUUCCUACCAGUCGUGGUAUGUCCUAUCAAAGGCUUUGGCGGAGGAAGCUGCCUGGAAGGUUGCAAAGGAGAAUUCUAUUGACAUGGUUACAAUCAACCCUGCUAUGGUCAUAGGUCCUCUUUUGCAGCCUACUCUCAACACGAGCUGUGAGGCAAUCCUCAAAUUAAUUGAUGGUAUGUAGCUCCACUGGGAAGGUCGUGUUUUAAUUACUUGCUGCAACUAUCUGCUGCUGUAUUGGAAUUUUGACUAUAUCUUUGUCCACAUACUGAAAACUGUAGUUGAGCAGAAUUAGGGACCCUGUUGGACCUUGUUGUAACAUGUAGCGUCGUUUAUGAAGUUUGUUUGAGUAUUGGUAUUUGGAGCAGCUCUUCUCAACAGUUUAUCUCUCCAACAGAAUAAGAGGCUCCAAAUCAGAGCUUCUACGUUUAGAGCUCAAAAUCUUGUUUCAGCGUCCUGCUGCAGCAGAAUUGGAGGGCACCAAAUUGGAACUUCUGCUGUUAGAUGAAGUGCUGCUAAGGAUUUUCGUUUUCAUCGGCCAAUUGCUCGGAUGAAAAAGAGGGUUGAAAUGCUGUCUUGCUUUCAUGUUAGGCACCUUUUUGGGUCACUGAUUGUGUCUUUAAGGCGAAAGAAGACAAGAUUGACUAGUGAAAAAAUUAUUCUUGCAAUGAGAAGUUAGAAUCGCCGUAUUGUUCUCUGUACCAAUUAAUUUCCAUGAUGAUUGGAGAAAAAUAGUUUGAAGAAAUUCUUAACAAAUAUGAAAGUACAUGCCAAUAUAUGUCUGAAGUUACUGUUUAGUUCGUUAUUCUGAUGGAAUGGUGUUAUGUACUUUCACUGUUUGUUUCUCUUUUGUCGUAAAUUAACCAUUAUUACUAUUUCAAUUUUUUUUUUUCCCUUUAGAAUUAGUACUGUUUCAUUAUCUGCCAUAGGUCUAUUUCUCCAUGUAGUAUGUCAUUCAAUAUGAGCAAGAGAAUCUUUAUAUAAAUGUUUUAUAGCAUGUCUGGAAGCGGUUUAAGUGAUAAUAGAUUUCACUUGAUUUCUUACAGGAUCAUCUACGACGUAUCCAAAUUAUAGUUUUGGAUGGAUAAAUGUUAAAGAUGUCGCCAUGGCUCAUAUUCUUGCCUACGAGGUACCCUCGGCAAAUGGACGAUACUGUUUAGUUGAAAGAGUUGCUCACUACUCGGAGAUCGUGAAGAUCAUACAUGAGUUGUAUCCUUCCCUUAAACUCCCUGAAAAGUAAGUUAAUAUCUGACAUUAUUCAUUGCCAUUCCUUUCCACAUUAAUUUAGACGGGCAUGUCCUACGAAUUGUAUUCUUUCAUUUAAUUGGCGCUUACUAAUUUCUUUCCCAUUAUACUUAACCCUUGUUCAUAUGUAGUAGACUUUCCUAGGAAAAGAUAUUGGGGCUUAGUUUUGACUAAAAAUGAAAGAAAUAACUUUUCAACUUUCGUAGUGCCUCAAAUCGAAAGAAGUAACUUUGGAACUUGAAGGCUUGUUGCUGUCGAUUGUAGAUUUUGUUAUAGCUAACUAAGUAACAAAAUUAACUGCAACAACUAGGUUGGAUGAACUAUAUUCUUAGACUUUUCCAAGAUGGAAUAUUGUCAAUAACGAAAUUUAGCAAAGCUUUAAUUUGCCGAUCUUUGUUUGUUGGCAGGUGCGCGGAUGACAAGCCUUUCGCUCCGAUCUACCAGGUCUCGAGGGACAAAGCAAAGAGCUUGGGCAUCGAAUACAUCCCACUCGAGACGAGCAUCAAGGAGACCAUAGAAAGCUUGAAAGAGAAGGGAUUCGUAAGCUUUUGAAAAGCCGCAGUUUGUGACGUGAAAAGCUAUAUAUGAGAGUGGUGGAGAAUGCUUUGAUGGUUGAAUAAAAGUCGGCUUUUAUCAUGUAUUUGAAAAGUGCUUAGGGUAUGUUUGGAGGCUUAGAACUGCAUUGGAUCUUCUUUCUUGUGCUGUUGAAGUUGUAUGAACAUGGGGUCUCACCAUUGUUGACAUGUGGUUUGAAUCUAUAAAUGUCAUGAAUGAUGGCCUUUUACUAGUUGAAGUGGUAGAGCUUCCGAUUUCGUGUAUGCCUCUUAUGCCAAGCUUCAGCAUUUGCUCGGAACAUCUAGCAGAUUCUGUGGUAAACAGAGAGCUGGAACUGGUGUUAUGCCGGAAAGUAUUAAUGGAAGUUUGGAGCCCAUAUACGCACACUUUAUUUUGGUGCUUCUGAAUCUGCUAUUGUCUACAGAGUUGAUCUCUGAGGGAAUUUGAACAUAGUUAAGUGCUCCUCCUAACCGCAGUACUGCUCAAGCAGCAAGAUUUUCUGAAACUCAACAGUUUCAGUAUCCUUGGGGGGCUCUGUGAAGGUAUUGGGCCGAAAACGAGUAACACAGUAAAAUUAACACCCAAUCUGAUGCAAAAUCUACAUCUAUAUAUGGUCAAAAAUAAAAUUGAUUCACAAUUAUCAGGACAAAUACCUGGUAGGUCGAGGAGUUCCACAAUAGCCAUAGUAUGCUUGCAAUCAAAGCUCCAGUUGGGUAGGAGCAGACUCUGUGGCCAUCAUCAGCAGUUGGAUCAGUAGAUCAUCAUUACAAACUGCACUAAAAUCAACCAUCCAAUAAACCAAGCAAAUGCUUUGUUCAGAAACAAGAUACUAAGAAGAAUGUAUUCUAUUAGAAUGAAGUGGUUUCUACCACGAAAGUAAUCAAAUUGAGGCAUGAUUUCAGAUUACAAAAUACUGUAUAAUUAAAAAGUACUGUAUAAUUAGAUAGCAAACAUUAAAAUUAAAAGUUUAAAAUUUAAAUCCACGUUUUGGAUAAAAUUCUAUAUAUUUUUUUGUGUGUUUAUUUUUGGAUAAACUUCAAACUUCCAUGUGAUUUUGCACUUUUUUUUUUGGUAAACUUCAAAUACUGGUUUUGUAUUUUCUCAUUUUAGUGUCCUAUGGUCUAAAGUGUAUCAAAUUAGUGUCUUGUGAUUUUAUUUAUAUUUUUUUGUCAGCUUUUUUCUUAAUAUUAUAUUAAAUUAUACGCAAAAAAUUUUAGAUAUCCUACCUAAAUUUAUCGAAUAUUCUCUUUAAUACCAUUUAGUUUUAAUUUUGUCACUAAUUUAACGAAAAAAUUAGUGAAAUCGAUAAUAAAAAUCUAAAAAUAAAAUCACAUGAUGCUAAAUUAAUAUAUUUUAAAUUAAACGCUUCUAAAAUAAGAAAGUGUGAAACCAAGUAUUGGAAGUUUUUAUUUUUUAUUUUUUAUUUUUUAUUUUAAUAUCAAUCGUAUUUCAUAAAAUUAGGUGUUUGUUACUGUAUUAUUGGUUCGACAAUUCAUUCCUCCAUAAACCUAAGGGCUAGGGUAUGCACCCCGCUUAAUCCUUCUCUCUCUCCUUCUCUCUCGCCCCUCGAUCUCUCGCGCUCUCUCCCUCCUCCCUCCUCCCUCGGACCCGCACGCGAUCGCUCUCCCUCUCUCUCUCUCUCGUUCUCUCUCUCGAUCUCUUCUUCGUCUCCAAUGGCGCCGGCGGCGGCGGCGGCGGCGAACUUCGGGGGACGAACGAGCGUGCGCGUGGCGGUGGUGGGCGAAGCGGGCACGGGCAAGUCGAGCCUCAUCGUGACGGUGGCGACCGAGUCCUUCCCCGAGAACGUCCCCCGCGUCAUGCCCCCCACCCGCCUCGCCGCCGACUACUUCCCCGAUCGCGUCCCCAUCACCAUCGUCGACACCUCCUCCAGGUCCUCAAUCUCUCAAAUCUCUCAAAUCUCUCAAUCUCUCAAAUCUCUCAAUCUCUGAGCGUGUUGUUCCUUGUGCAUCCAUGUCUAUUUCUCUCUCUCUCCAACUCUCCCUAAUUUCCCUUGGUUGCAGUCCGGAGAACAAGGCGAAGCUGAUCGCGGAGUGCCGCGCCGCCGACGCCAUCGUGCUGACCUACGCGUGCGACCGCCCCUCCACGCUCGACCGCCUUAGCACCUACUGGCUCCCCGAGCUCCGCCGCCUCGAGGUCUCGCUCUAUCUCCUUCAUUUCUCCCUCUCGCUAGUGUUCUAUUUCGGAUACCAUACCCUAGGUACAGGACGAGACAGAAGAAAAGAGGAUUGAAGAAAAAUUGGCAGAGUAUUUAUCUAUUUAUUUUUUAAGAACUUGUAGUAUAAGCGUCUGAGAUUUCUCCUUUUUUGUGGAGGAAGAAGAAAGUAAUCUAUUCUCCUACUCUUUUUUUUUUUUCUGAGUGGCUUCUUUUCGAUCUAAUACUCUCGAUCCUGUCUGCUCGGCCCUGCUGUCGGGUUUAGUGUUGGAUCGAGUGCUGUCCGAGUUGUGCAGCGAGUGCUGUUUAAAGAAGCAUUGUAUUUGAAUCUCUUCCAUGGAAAAUUCUUCGCUGCGGAAGUCGAAGUAACCAAUUCGAGCUUCUACAUCUGCAGCAGAGGCACCAGAAUUUUUUGCUUGACAAACACCCUACUGGAGGUGACUGUCGCAAACGCAGCAAUACAAAUGGAGCCAAAUAGGGCGGUAAACGUGUUAAAGUAGAUUCUAUUACCAGGACCCAUAAUCUGGGGUUCUUUGCAGGUGAAAGUGCCCGUGAUCGUGGUUGGUUGUAAGCUGGAUCUGAGGGACGAGCAGCAGGUCAGCCUUGAGCAGGUGAUGUCGCCGAUCAUGCAGCAGUUUCGGGAGAUCGAGACCUGCAUCGAGUGCUCCGCUCUCAGGCAGAUUCAGGUCUUGUCCUUGUCACUUGUUUCUGCUCCUUGAACAUAUAAAUGCCAACCAGGAAUGCUAGAUCAUACAUUUUUUAUUUUUCCUUUUUCUUUUAUAUUCAUUUCGUUUCUUGCUGGGAGAUAUCUUGGUUCUGGAAACGAGCGUAUACUAAAAUUUGAAUGCGAAAUGCCUCCUUUUGCAGGUUCCUGAGGUGUUUUAUUAUGCUCAAAAGGCGGUGCUUCAUCCAACCGCUCCUCUCUUUGAUCAAGAGACUCAAUCACUGAAGCCUCGGUGUGUGAGGGCUCUGAAACGGAUAUUCAUUCUCUGUGACCACGAUAGAGAUGGUGCUCUCAGUGAUGCGGAGUUAAACGAUUUUCAGGUUCCUCCCUCUUUGUUGAAAUUUUGCAUUUAUCACUUCCAUAUUUGGAAUAUUAGAAAAACCUUACUGUUUCCUGAUGUUUGCAGUGAUAACAGUUUUGUCUGUUGUCUUUCCAGGUUAAGUGUUUCAAUGCUCCUCUCCAGCCAUCUGAAAUCACAGGUGUAAAGAGGGUCGUGCAAGAGAAGAUGCCAGAAGGAGUGAACGAGCACGGGCUCACAUUGACUGGGUUCCUCUUCCUGCAUGCUCUUUUUAUAGAAAAGGGCCGUUUAGAGACAACGUGGACAGUUUUAAGGAAAUUUGGAUAUGAUAAUGAUAUUAAGCUCAGAGACGAUCUCCUUCCAACAACAUUCAAACGAGCUCCUGACCAAGUAAAUUUUACAUUGCCUUUUUUCUCUCUCAAAAAAAAAUUUUACAUUGCCUUUUAAUUAAUGUACUGUUAAUUGCAAGAUCCUUUUAUUCAUCUGAUGUUGACAUCUCACCUUUUGUAGACUUUUAGUGGGUGGAUUCUAGAAUUCGCAGGACCUUUCCUCGCCAAUUAAUCAAAUUUCUAGAAUUAUUGCUACUACUACCGUUGUAGUUCUUAUUGACAUGAUUAGGUUUGCUUACUUUGUUGCAGUCUGUGGAACUGACAAAUGAUGCCGUGGAAUUCUUGAAAGGGUUGUUCUUCAUAUUCGAUAUUGACAAUGUAUGGAUCAGUUCAUUCCUCUGUUUUACGCUAAUACAUUCUUUUAUCAUUCUUUAUUUGCAAUGUUUCUUUGUUUGCGUAAAUUUCUCUACUCCAUUGUGAUACAUGGCCAUUCUUCUGUAGAAAAAGCUGGAUGAUUUUCUGUAUAAAUGACUGAAGGUUUUUCAUGUUUUAGAUGAUGAUCUCACAAAUAUGGAUCUUUCUAGACUCCUUCAUUUAAAAGUCUAUUUGGAUGAGAUGGCCUAUGUAUCAUAAAGUCUUUUUACUGCUUGGCUGUGUGUUCCUUUAAAUUUAAUUAUUUGUAGUUCUACUAGUUUCCCUUGGUGUUUGUUUAUUCUUUUCUUUAUAUUGCUGUUCUGUUUUUUUUUUUUUAUGUGACACUUGCAGGAUGGGGCUCUAAGACCUGCUGAAGUUGAAGAUCUUUUUUCAACUGCUCCUGAAAGGUGAAAUGUGUUGUUGCAGCACNUUUCAAUGGUAGUAAACUGCCUUAACUAGUUGGUGUUCUUCAAUGGCACUAGCUGCUGCAAAGAAUAAAAUUUUUCUAUUUCUAAAGCUGAAAAAUAAUAUUUCUCUUGAAUAUAUUUCAGACUUAUUGAGUUUGUCUUGUGUUAUGUGACACUUGCAGGAUGGGGCUCUAAGACCUGCUGAAGUUGAAGAUCUUUUUUCAACUGCUCCUGAAAGGUGAAAUGUGUUGUUGCAGCACAAAUUGUUCUUAAAGUGUUCCUACUUUUUAAAAUCCAUCGUCUCAUUUAAUGCAGUCUGCAACAUACUACAUGUUGUAACUGCAUCUACUUAAAUUAAAAUAUUUUACAUUUUUUCAUGCACUGCACAAUCUUAAUGUGGGUUAAAGUCAGAUCUGCCUAUAUAGGUAUUGUGAUUUAAUGUCCCCUUCUAGUGUUUGUUCCUAGUGACCUUGUACUUUUUUCAAGGAUAUGCUGAAAGUUUCUUGCAUUAAAGGGAGGUCAAAUAUGAUUUCAAAAAUAAUCCCUUGUAGUUAUACUAUUAGAACGAAAAAUAUCUUCCUUUUACUCUUUUAUCGCGUAAGAGGAGUCCAUGAAUCAAGGUUCUUGAGCUAGGCUGUUGAAGGAAGACCAUCUUGUUAUUAUGGGUCAAUAUUUUGAUGCUAAAAUUUAAGAGAAGCUGGUUUUCUGCCAUUAAGACUACUUAUUACCGGUUUUGUUCAUUAUCGUAGCUCAAAUUUCUUUCCUGACUGGAUACUAAAUUCACUAUUCUUAUUGUGUUCCUAUGUGAUCAGUCCUUGGUCAGCUGAAAGCCUCUAUAAAGAUGCUGCUGAAAAGAACGUAUUGGGUGGGUUGUCGCCCGAAGGAUUUCUCUCUGAGGUGUUUACUGUUGAUUUUCUUUUUUCUCUUGUUUCUUUACCUUUCAAGUUUUGUUCAUGCCUUUUUAUCUUGGAGAGGCAAUCAGAAAUUUGGACUUUUUAUGUAAUUAAUUAAAAUGAAAAGGCAAUCAAAUAGAAAGAGGCUUGAUAGCCUGUUGAGUCAGUGAGAACUCUCUUAUUCACAGUUCUAGUUCAAAUCUAAGUUCAUCUUUGUUACCAAAUGUAUGAACGGUGGUUUAUUUUAAGUAGGAUCUAUAGACGGUGUUUUGUAGGAAUGCCAGUAACUUUCAAAGGCAAUGUUUGGUAUAACAAAUGGAAUCCGAGUAAUUUUCUUCUGCUUUUUAUAGGUUUAGGCAGCUAGGAUCUUCUGGCUUUGAUACUUAAAUAGAUACCUGUGCAAGUUGAAUAUGAAUUUAUAUAUGUUUACUAGGUUAGGAUUUUUAAUGCCUCAAAGCAUUUUCUUUUCCUGCGAUUGCAGUGGGCGCUCAUGACUCUCCUAGACCCAGUAGCUAGUCUAGCUAACCUGAUUUACAUUGGCUAUCCUGGUGAUGCAACUUCAGCUUUUCAAAUCACGAGAAAAAGGCGUGUGGAUCGCAAAAAGCAACAGUCCCAAAGAAAUGUUUUCCAGUGCUUUGUUUUUGGCCCAAAAAAUGCUGGGAAGUCUUCGUUGUUAAAUUCAUUGAUUGGAAGGUAAAGGAAACCUAAUUUUCUUCUCCUUCCUCAAUCCAUUGUUACUAUAACAAUUGAACUUCUUUGAUUUGUGCUGCUCUGAUAUCUUGUUAUUGUUAUAUUUUCAGGACAUUUGUUGAGAGGUAUACCCCAACUACUGGUGCGCGAUACGCAGCAAACAUCGUUGACAUGUCAGGAGUAAGCACGAGUUCUUUUGCAGAUACUCUCUUGUAUAUCUAAAGAAACAUGAAAUUGUGUUUCCUCCAUCCUCUACCUAGAAUAACCCUUCCUUUUUGUGCCUGCAUGAAUAAAGAAUCUUUUCUGAUCUUGAACUGACUAGAAAUUCUCGUGUUUCUUCUUAAGGGGGGUAAGAAGACACUUGUAAUGAGAGAGGUGCCUGAAGAUGAAGUCAGGCCUAUGUUGUCUAAUAAGGAGUCAUUAGCAGCUUGUGACAUUGCAGUAUUUGUUUAUGAUAGGUAUAAUACAUCAGAAAUACUCUUCCUUUUGUUUUACUCUUUUUCUUUGUUUUGAGUAUAUUUUUGGUUGUGUACUUGUUUUACAUAAUUUACAUUACUUGAUUCAUGUGUUCAACUGAUAUAUUUAUGCUUUUGAAUACAUAGGAACCAUAUGCAAGCAGCCACCUCUUAGAAAAAGCAACUUUAUUUGACAGUGAGAAAAUUACAAGUCCAUCUAAUUUUUGCAGUUCUGAUGAAAAUUCGUGGAAGAGAGCAAAAGAGUUGCUUGUUCAAGUUGCCAGUCACGGGGAGAAUAGUGGCUUUGAAGUCCCUUGUCUUAUUGUUUCUGCUAAGGACGAUCUCGAUCCUUAUCCUUUGGCCAUACAGGAGUCAACUAGGGUAUGUUGUCGUUUAUCUUUUGGUUUGUCUUAUUUUGGCAUUAGCAUAGUAUGCACUAUGAUAAAAAUGAGCAUCUUGAUUUAUUAUGUGGUUGGGAUUUGUUUGGCCUGGCCAGUGCUUUGUAGAAUGGUUGUUAUAGUACAAUGUUGUUCGAAGAAACACUAAUGGUGUUUUUAGUUAGGUCUAAUUGAGACAGCUUCUUGCUGCAAAAGACGCAGAAGCUUUAAACUAGUGUUUCUGCUUUUAGGGCACAAAAGCUCAAUUUUGCUUUUAGCUGCCUCGUCUUUUGUUUAACAAAAUGCUUAAUUUUCGAAGUUGCUGCUUUCUAUAGUAUAAAACAUGUUUCAGAAGCCAAGCCAAAAAGACACUUAGUAUUACACUAGUAGUUAAUUUGAUGGUUGCAUCUGGUUCCUGCCUGCUAGUCUGAUAUUGUGGUGUUAGAAACAUAUUCUUGAACUUUGGUAUCAAUGGUGUUCGUACAUUAUCUUAUGCAAUUGCUUUUCAUUCACUUAAUAAAUUACUCCUAUCUUUUCCCAAAUAUAUAUCCUUGUUAAAUUAUCUGUUGGAUGUAAGCCUGUGUUAGCCUUAUAGAAUUUCAAACUUUUGCAUGUAUGCAGAACAAGAUAUCUGUUCCUAUAGGGAGAGUCUUGAGGGCUCUCUUGACAUGCCAGAGUCUUUUAUUUACUUUCUGUUCAAUCACAUCUAUUUUUUUAAAUAUCUACCAUUUUUAAAUUAUCUAUGGCAUAAGCCCAUGUAAGCACUGUAAAAUUGAAACCUAUGCAUACAUUCCCCUAUGUAGUUAGAUAUAACCUUACAAAAAUCGGAUAUUUAUGCAUACACCUCUAAAAGAAAAGAACCUCUAGGCCCACAUUCCCCUAUAUAAUGAACUAUUUAGUCAUUCACAACUGUACAAUUUGAUUUUUCAUAUAAGCCCAUCAAAAUUUUGGAAGUGGGUUUUCUCCAUGUUAUCUUGUCGCAUCUCUCUAUUGUGAUAUUGCAGUUAGAUUGUGCAUUCAGUACUUGCUGGGUGGAGAAAAAGAUUAAAGCUAAUUUUUGUACUUUGUAAUCUCCUUCAGGUAAGUCAGGAUAUGGGGAUAGAAACUCCCAUUCCGGUCAGCAUGAGGUUAAGAGAUCUGAAUAAUGUAUUCCAAAGGAUAGUUAAUGCUGCUCAACAUCCGCAUCUGAGCAUUCCAGAAACUGAAGCUGGAAAGAACCGCAAGCAGUAUCGCCGUCUCGUAAACCGAUCCCUCAUGUUUGUUUCAGGUAUUCGUCUUUCCUCAUGCAUUUUUCUUUUAUUAUUUUCAUCUUCGGCUUGUUUAUACUGGUGCAUUUAUAGGUGCGUUUUAAGUCUGCGUGCCCAUUGGCACGGACUGUGCCAUACCCAGACUGUGCCAUACCGUGCCAUAAAAAAUAUAAGCACGAUACUGCCCCUAUACCAAGGGCACAGUUCAAAAUCCUAUUUUCUUUGAAAUUAGCCAAUAGUAAUCUCAAUGAAGUGCAAAAGAUUUAAUAAAAAUAUAUACUAAGCGAUAAGAGUAGGUGUCAAAGAAAAUAAAAAUUUUAUGUCAUCGUGUGACGGCACACUAGUACUUUUCUUGCUUGACACACAUUGGCAUGGUACGGCACGCGCUGCCGUACUAUACCAUCAAGUUUUCGGCACGAUUGGUACUUAUAUCCUUGAUUCAUAGUAAUAGAUGUUUAUCUUCGUUCCUAUGCGAAACCAUCUAUUUAGAUAUAUGACCCUCAAUAUAUGAAAUUUCGUAUAUGCUUUCUUAAACUAACGGCAUGUUUGGUUCACCUAUUUUAGACUAUAGAAUUGAAAUAGGAUUCAUUGAUUUCGUUAGUUGUUGUUGUUUUACAGGAAUCGGAUUCCGAUUCCUAUUACAUUCUGGAAAGGGAACGGUCAUUAUUGAUUUACGGCCCAUCCGGUUUUGAAUCCUUGAUUUGGCCCAUUCCAAAAUAUGAAGUAUUCAAAAUCCUCUCUCACAAAUACCUCCCUCUCGUCGACUUUCAUCACUCUCUUCUCUUUUAAUUGAAAUUCUCUCAAAAUCCUAAAUUCUCAUUCCAAUUUUCUUUUCUAUAAUGAGCCAAACAUUUCUGGAUGAUUUGUUAUUCCAUUUUCCAUUCCAAAGCAAUUUAACUCCGUUUUUCAUUUCUGUUUUAAUCAUGAACCAAAUUCUUAUAUAAAUUCUCUUCAAAGAGCUUUUAGUAAUACAAAACCAGCUACCCUCUUGAUUUGCAUGACACCCAACUGAAGGGAAGGGUCUUAUACUGUUAUGGUACUGCACUCCUACUUUUGCUCGGGCAUAUAGUGAAAAUGAGAUUUUUACAGGGGUGGGUAUAUACACAUAAAUUGGUGAUUUUGCAUGGACAUAUAUCCUGUUUACCAAGUAGUUCAAAAAUAGCUUCCAUUUCUCUGCUGCGUUAGAAUAUAUGCUCUAAUUAAAAGAUUUUUUUUUUCCUCCUAAUAAAAACUUUACCAACCUUUGAUGGCUUGUAUUACUUCCUUUUCUAUCUCAUAUGGUUUCUCUCAUUUCUGUCCAUUGUAAACAGUUGGAGCUGCCGUUGCGGUCGUUGGAAUUGCUGCUUACCGGGUUUAUGCUGCAAGAAAGAAUACCUCCGGAUAAAAAAAAAAGGAAAAAGAAAAUCUUUGGUUGCAACUCUAAAGAGGUUUUUAAGCACAUGGUCCUUGGACCUUUCUUUUUUCGACCGUAGUGCUUUUUCUCUUUCUUUUUAAGUUGUACAGAUCCACUAGCAGCAGCUUCUGUCAAAGUCUGUUUAGUAUCUAAUGGUUAUGAUGUUAUUUUAAUUUUUCUUCUCGAAGUGCUUCGAUGGAAAGGUAGUAAUUUUGAGUGGUGCAUUGGAGCAGCCGUUUGGUGUUCUUUAUAUUUGCGAAUAGCUGUUCUUACUUCCUGAGGCCUUUAUUAGCCUGGUGAAGACAAUAUAUGAUAUUUUAUAUAGCUGAUUUGUUUUACUCGAAGCAUUUUUGUAAUAAGUUUUCUUUGGUGAGUGUUGUCAAAAUGCAUAAAAUAAAAAAAUAAUAAAUUUUAAAUAUCACUCCUGUACUUUCGUAUUUUUUUAUUUUAAUAUCAUUUAAUUUAAAAUAUAUUAAUUUAAUAUUCUGUAUUUUUUUUUUGUCAAUUUUUUUUGUUAAUAUUUUGUUAAAUUAUAUACAAAAAAUUUUAAAUAUUUCACCUAGAUUUAUCAAAUAUCACUUUAGUAUAUUUUAAUUUUAACUUUAUUACUGAUUUAAUAAAAAAAAUAAAAAGAAUAAUAAUAAAAAAAUUAUGAGAUAUUAAAAUUAAUAUAUUUUAAACGACGUGAUAUUAAAAUAAAAAAAAAUAUAAAAUCACAUGAAUGGUAACAGUUUUACUGAGAACUUUUAGUCGUAGUUACUAUUCUCUAAUAGCUCCCUGCAGAAAAGAGGGAAUGGAACUCGGAGCAUAAACCAUCCUUAUGCUUGCACUAUGUACCAUCUUUUAGAUUACAGCAAUUUUUUACCGGGAAUAUCAGUGAGUAGAAGCUUGCACUAUGCAUUCCAUCCUUAUGCUUGCACUAUGCAUUCCUCUUCCUGAGAAAUGAAUUUGGAAAAAAAAAANGAAGAUCAGCAAGCAUAACUUUCAAAUCAUACUACCUAUCUGCACCAAUCUGGGUGGCAUUCUCACAUAGCAUAAUCAUUAGUUCACUUCAGGCUUUGGGUGCAUAUUGAUCUCCCGCAAACAGACUUAACUCACUUUCAGAUCAUUCAACCUAGCACAACUGUUAGGCAAGGCGAAUUCUAGCUGCCUCAUUUUUGAAGUGCUCUUUUUAGGUAGUCGAUCCCGCUGCUGCAUAUUGCUGCUGCAUAACCGUAGGCACCAGUGUUUCACCGAAUUUUUUCUCUCAAUGAACCUGCAUAAUCAUAACUGUCGGGUGAGUUAGCAGCUAUCAUGAAACAGGAAAAGGUGAAAGACAUACAUACCUUGAACUACAUGAGAUUUCAAUUUAAGUAGGUCCACUGAAAUAGGCAGCAAUCUCAAAAAAUAUUGAUUUUCUCGCCUAACCUUAUAGUAUGUCCGAUUCAUGGACCUGUUCGAGAGAACUGAAUAGUAUUUAUGAAGUUUUUUUAGGGAACAUCUUCUGUUAUUGGCCAGAUAUUCUAUUAGCUCUCCGACAGAACUGUUCGGUUCUAAUUGAACUGCUUUUUGAAACAAAAAAUAAUUGAGGGUUAGGUAGCAGACUUUGCUCCCGUAUAAGGUAUAAAUAGUAGCUAUCUGCUCUUCCACCAUACAUCCACCAUACCUUUCUACAAAAGAACAUGAAAGAAAUGAUAGUGUUUGUGCUUAAACUAGUGUUUGUACUUAAACCCACCAAAACUGAAACUAUGAAGCAAGUCUUAGUCCCAGCAAAAUUAGAUAAAUAGUUGCUGUAACAAGCAUCGAAAAGUGCGUACUUAUUUUUUCUUGGAUAAGAGCAACAUACUCCAUGCUAUUUUCUUUCCAUGCGUAAGAAAUAACAUUGCGGUACAUAUAUGCUGCCGGUUGAAUUCCUGCAUCUUCCAUCCACUGCAAUACCUAUGUGGAGAAAUUCCAGGGGGGUACAUAAACAAGGCAAGGAUAUUGUAGAUAUCAUACUAAAAAGAGAUAUCAAACAAAGAAGGGGCUUUUACACAUAUAUCCCAGCAAAGUCAUCCAUUGACCAUUGUCAUCUACUGACCAUCGAAAUAUACACGAAAAUGCGGAAGAAAGAAAUACAGUUAAGUUGGCAAAUCAUCCAAUACAAAAGGGUUAUGUUUUCUAGUAGGAAAAAAAAAAUUAUAGAGAGGAACUUCUUGAAGUAAAAAUUUACGUAUGUUAAAAACUAUGCAAUAUCUCAAGAAGAAAGCCCGGAUAAUUUUUUUUUGAGGAUUCAUGUGGUUGAUGUCGCAUAGUGUAGCAAAAAGGCCAACACUUUAGGAUCUUCACCAACACUUUUGUGAGUUGUAUAGGACGUGAUAAAGUUGAUCUCUCGGUGUAAAUUAUGAUUUAGAAGUCAAUCAACUUAUAAGAAUGUUCAAUAGAGUUAAUAUCUCGAACAAGACUAAGUUUCUUCUGUCCUUCCCAGUAGGAUAAUACGAAUGCUUGGAGAAGUUAAUUGUCGUAUUAAAAUUCAAAUCCUUCAUCAUAUUUGUAUCCAUUGGUCAUGGAAGCCAAAGAUAAACCAUGGAUAAAACCAUGGUAAUUUUUUGAGAUAUUAUUCUGUUCAAACAAAAUCUUUACUCUCUAAAGUUCCGUUCAGUAAGAGGAGGCCUAUCUUUAACAAUGAGUAAUCAAUAUUCAAAAUACACUUGGAUGUGCAGAUUAAGUUUAAACAAGAGAACAAAAGCCACUACAAAGAACAUUUUUAGGCACGCCAACAAGCAAUCUUACAGUAUGUUCUUUUACUCACCUCAAUAUAUUUUCUCCAUUUUCCAGCAGCCAAAAGAUUCUUCAAGAGAAUUGAAUAAGUAGCACAACCGACAUUUGAGCAUGAAGCCAGGAUCUUGAAAAAAAUCUACAUGAAUAAUAGGAAUUAUAGAAUUUCACCAUACAAAUCUAGUACAUUUAAAAAAGACAUAAUAAGACAAAAAAUAUGCCAGUAUUAGAACAACUAAAAUCACCCAUUUGUAUACAAAACAUUUGAGCUACAGACCAUUUCCGUUGCCAGCCACGCCAGCCAUACACUUUGAAUGCGACCAUUCAAAGGACAGUAUUUUUUUUAAACUAAGAAAGGAUGUAGCUCGUUGGGAAGUGGGGAUUGAAGUAUGAGAUGGGAAUGGGGGCAGAUUACAUGGCGCGACAUGGCUGUUAGGGUGCAGAUUUUGCUGGCUAUAACUUCUCUUGAGUCAUAGGAUAUCUUUCGAAUAUGAAAUCACGGGCAGAUCAAAACAGAAUUACCUAAACCAUCUGAAUAGGAUGUGAUCGACAGUUAACUAAGAGGACAAAACCGGCUUUAGUUAGUAAUAAAAAGAACAUUCUACAAUACCUUCAUCAUAGUCUCUAUCUUCCCACACUUUCCAAGAAAGUGCAGGAGCUGAUUUAAUAUCCCUAGUGACGUUGAUGAGAAUGAUGGCUCCAUAUGUUCAAUAACUUGGAUUGCUGUUCUCCAAUCACGGAGCCUACAAUUGAGAGACCAAAAAAAAAAAAGUAUAUAGCACGUCAUAACUUGCACAUGCAAUUGUGCAUCAUUGAAAGAUAAAGCAUUUAUUUUGCAAACGAUGCCUCAAUUUUGAUAGAACUACGGUGAUGUACUUUUGGGCUAUAAAGAUAUGGAAAUUAGUUAUAGAAAGGAAGGACAUUCUCUAAUCUUUUUCUGCGAGGAAGAAAUAAUUGUUUGGAUCACAAAGUUCCAGGCAUGCCUUUCUAUCAAAUAAAACUUCAUGUUUGAAAUCCUAAAAUGGACCUGAAUUCUGCUGUGAAGAUACAAUUCACGUUGGUUCCCAAAAAUGAAUUGGGGCUUAUAACAACAUUCCCAAAAACCAUCGAGCCAUAAAGAAAUGCCAGAUAGUGAUAAGAUCACGCGCUCAAUUUUUGCAAAACUGAAGGAAGGACGUUUUCCAAUCCAAGGUUUAAACAUAGGUGCAAGCCCUAUAUACCUGAGAAUUAAGUGCAUACUAGUAAUGAUCCACAAUUGUACACUAGUAACAUGGAUCAUCUAUUUGUCUGUAUAUACAAUCCAUAGUCAUAAAAACAUUAAACAGCCUAUAUUAAAUUGAAAACCAAACAAAUAAGUAUAAUCGCCAACUUAACAAGUAGAUUCUAACUUCAAGCGUAAUGCUAACCAACAAGGAUCUUACAUGCUGCAAGAGAAUAUAAUCUCGUAAGACGCACUUGGAUUUAGAGGUAUAUGCUUCUCCCUCAUCAACUCUACCAACUGAAUAACCAUUUCAGGUUGGCACCCUCUAUUCAAAACUUCCAUAAGGGAUGAACAUGCAAUAGGGUCUGGCUCAAUACCCCUUCCAGCCAUGUCCUGGAAAAGAUCCCAUGCUCUCUUCCAGUUCUCUUGUUGUCCAUAAUUUAAAUAUAUGGUUAGUGCAAAAUCUCUUUAUCAAUUAUUUUCCUAAUUAUAUUAGAGGAUGGCCUAACCUGCUAUGCUAUAGGCAUGUAUCAUGGCAGUGUAUGUUAUAACAUCAGGAAAACAACCAGCUUCCCUCAUACGAUUGAAAAUAGAUUCAGCUUCUACUAGUUGGCCCUGAAAAUAAACAAUUAUGUCAUGUUAUGUAUAGGAAGAUCACCAAAAUUAAGAUAUAAUUGCAUUGUUUCUUGCGUAAAACUGUCUAUUUACAUAUGUAUAUCCAAGCGAAAUCUGAAUUUCAUACAUGCCCUUCCAAAACAAUCGUUUGCAUAAAUACUUGGCAGUUGCAAAAUAUCCAUCCAUACAAAACUCCUUUUAAUACAAAAUACUUUUCCCCAUGAAUGGAUAACUCCCCAAAUUAAGGUUUUCAGAAUUCAUAAGAAUCAGCACUUUAGAGGGUACAUAUGAAAAUUCAGAUUUUACACGUGUAUAUCUGGAUAGAUGACUUAAAAAGGGUGUAUAAAAGUAUGUUCCGUGUAUGUGAAAGCUCCUAAUCGUACAACCCCAAGAAAUUCAAUGGCACUUGCCUGUUUACUGUACACACAGAUCAAAGAUGAGUAGACCUCCUUUGAGAGAGGAAUCUGCAACUCCGUCAUCUCAUCCAGCAACUUCAGAGAUUCUGUGAAUUUACCAACUUUACAUGAACCACUAAUUAGUAUAUUAAAGGUUACAGAAUCUGGCUUUGCAUUAUUUUCUUUCAUCAACUUAUACAACUUCAAAGCCUUGUCAUAUUCCCCAACACUCAUAUAACUUCCAAUGGCCGAGUUGUAUGCAACUGUAUUCAAUACAAUCCCUCGGGACUUUGCAGCUGAAAGUAUAGAGUCAAUUUUGACAAUUUGACCACAACGUCCACAAGCAGCCAAGAGAGUGCUUAUUGAAACAAUAUCUGGGUGGAUCUCAUCUCUUUCCAUUUCGUGCAGGACUUUAACAGCUUCAGCUAACAUACCCACAGAUCCGUAAGCAUCAAUUAGUGCAUUAUAGCUAACCCUAUUUGGUUUCCAAUUAUGGCGCUUCAUUGUGUCAAAGAUCUCCCUAGCUUUUUCAGGCUGUGAAGAUCUCCCAUAUGCAUUAAGUAGAGAAGUAUAUGAGACAAUAUCUGGUCUUAAUCCAUCCCUUUUAAUUGACUUGAAAAUAGCUAAGGCCUCUACAUGCAUUCCAUUUGAAGAAUAUGCACUGAGAAGUGCAUUAUAGGAAACGAUAUUAGGUUUCAAACCUUCUGCAGCCAUCAUAUCAAAUACCGCCUUGCAAUUCUCUGUUUGCCCACAAACAGAAUAAGCACGCAUAAUAGUGGUAUAUGUCACUAUAUCAGGACGACAUUCUGAGCUUUUCUCUUUCAUUGAAUUGAACAUAUCAACGGCUGUUCCAAAUUGUCCAAGCUUUACGAGGCAAUAGAUGACAAUGUUGUGGGUGAAAAUAUCAGGGGAAAUGUUGGUCUCUUUCAUCAGUUCGAAAUAAGCCAGAGCUUUUGAGUAUUGAGCCCCAUUCUUGAAAGCUGACAAGACGAUGUUGUGGGUAACCAAAUCAGGCCCCACACCGUUUUCGGUCAUUUUCUUGCUAAUUUCAAGAGCCUUUUUCCAAUUCCCAGAAGACCCACAUGCAUUUAUGAGGUUAUUGUAUGUAGUUCGGCUAGGAGGUAUCUGCUCCAAUAUUUCAAAGUAAGUUCUCUAAUGUGAAACCUUAUGCUAUAGAAAGGUAGAAAUGGUUAACUUUGGUAAUGAAACUUGAUAAUGAAUCUUGAGGAGACGCAAGAUUUUUAUUCUUAGUAUAUCAUAUAUUUGGCUGAUAAACAGAAGGAAUAUAUGCGAUACACUUAGAAUGAUAACAUAUGUAGUCGAAUAAGAAUCAUGUAUAAAAGGAUAAGUUUCUUAUUCUUAGAAUAUCAUAUAUUCUUAGCAUAACAUCACACAGAUCAAAGGCAUCUCUUGAUGACUCAAAAUUAUAAUUCUUAAUCAAUGUCGUAACCAGGAAACCAUGUUUAAUUACUGAAUGGCACCUCCUAGUCAUCUACUCGUAGGAACAUGCAGACCAACCAAGAACUAAAAUGUAAAUUUUAAGAAUGUCAGUGGAGGGUGAUAAUGUCACAUGCCAUGUUUUUUAUCAUUUCAGUUCAAACAGAAAUUCAAAUUAAGGAUUGCUAUAUGAAAACUGAAAAGCAAAUGUAUAGCUGGUAGUAACCAGCAUAUCUGCUAAAGAACUAGAAUUAAUGAAGCCAAUUUGCAAGUUCAAUAAAGCUAAUUUGAAUAAGUUAAUUCUGAUGAAGUAUGAUAAGAUAUGAAGGAAACAAAAUACAGACAGCAGCUCGAAGCAUAUCUUCCAUUAUAUUCGUUGCCCAACGCCACUGACCAGCUCGCGCAUGAGUGUGUAUUAGAGCAUUAAAGGUCUCUGCAUCGGGUUUGCAUCUAGGGAGAAAAGAUAUUUCAGUUGUCAAUGAGAGAAUAUCUUCAUAAUCAUAAUAAAAAUGCCGCAAAAGGACUACUACAAAAAGCCAAAUGGCUGCCAUAUAGGAGCAUCCAUAAGAACUAUUAACAUUUCUACACCGUAUUAGUAUUCUACCUCCACUCUUGCAUCUCGAAGAAUAAGCCACGUGCUUGAUCAAUCCGAUUAUGUCUCGCGUGCAAUCUUAUCAUCAUAUUGUACAUGUCCGUGUGUGCACAAUAGUUCUUCUGAUUCUUCAUCCAGCAAAAUACGUGAACGGCAUGUUCAAGAGAACCUGCAUUUGUUAUUUCCUGCAAGAAGUACCAACAUUAUAUAAUAAGUUAUCAUUUUAUCAGUCUUGCUGAACCACACUCUUGCAUUAUUAGCUGGCAAUAAGGUUUCAAAAAUAGCUAUUAUUUGACAAUGGCGCAUUGAAGGAUUUGGUGAACAAGCAUAGGUUGAGCCGCCAAAAGAACCACGACUCACUGAUUCUAAUAUGAGUAUCGAGGGCUCAAGUAUUUUGGACCAGUAUCUGGACUUAAUAAAUUACUAACUAUAGCAGAUUGACAAUCAAAAAUAUGGAAAUUAAGUACUAUACGGGGCAAAAUGCUGUGCUAAGACAUUGUAUGAGCUAUAUCUAGAAUUUGGAUAGAGAAGGGACUAAGUUCGACAUAUGAGAAUUAACGCCGUUCGAGCAAUUUGUGUUUAAGCAUUUUGGGCUAUUUGUUCAUGCUAAAAGAGCUGGUUAUACUAGUGGGCUACGCUGGUUGGUGUGUUACACAGAAGUACCCGAAUGAGGAGAGGGAAGUUGCGGCGGGCGAAUCGCCCGGCCCAGCAAUUGAGGACGCCGUCGACGUCCUCCCAAUGAUCGAGCCCUAGCACGCGCUCCGCCACCUCCGACACCUUCCAAUCUCUCUGCCACCGACUACCCUCCACCCGGAGCCGGUGCCUGGCCGGGAUCCCGUCCUUCCGCACUCCGGCGACCUCGCCGGAGACUCGGCGGCGCCCCUCGUCGUAGUCGACGGAGCCGACGAGCUUCCGCUCCGCCCAUGGCGGAGGGUGCGGAGGGGAUUUGGGCUUCCUCGAUGGGGCGCGGAUGCGGAGCGGCGGCGUGGGAGGGGUGGGGCUAUUAGGUUUUUGUAGAGGGGAAGGGUUUUGGGGCGUUGAGGAGGAGGAGGAGACCAUCGCCAUGGGAGAAGAGAGGAGAGGAGAGGGGAGGGGGAGGUUUCGUACUUAAACACUGGGUUGUAUUGAAAUUGGCGGGGGAGUGGAGAGGAUAAUGGUCGAAGGAGCGUGCGCACUGAUUGGGUCGGGUGGUACGGAAAAAUGUUGCGUGCACCCGGUGCAGUGCACUCCAUGCCAAUUUUUAGAUUUUAUUUUUCCCUGCACCAGGUGUGUGAAUACGUCUAAGCAUUUCAAUUCAUUGUAUAUAUACUAUAUGAUUUUCAGAAAGUCCACACAUCAAAAGCAGUAGAAUUUUGAUAUUAUAUUUUAUAAAAUAAACAAUAUUAAUUUUUGCAUUAUUGAUAUUUUUAGAUUAGUUAAUGUCUUAAGAAUAAGCUUUUAAACCGUGUGAUUUAUUACAUAUGGCUUUUCAAUAAUCUAGAUAUAUUAUUAGAUGGAGUUUAAAUUUUAAAGAGCAAAUAAUAAUAUCUCUCUUUCACUAUAAAUAUAAAUAAUUACCACUAAAUAAUAUUUAAAAUCUAAAAUCUAAUUUUGGACAUCCGCAGGAAACAUUGAGAACAAAUAUUUACUAUGUAGUUAUCAAGUAAUUUCAAAAUUUGAUUGCGUAAAAAAAUUUAUGCUCAAAAGCCUCAAAUUAUGAUUUGUAAUAACUAGAUAUUUUGAAUGGUGCAGGACAUCAUAUGCACCCGGCCCACGAUGAGUUGCAGCAGGUGCAUUAGAUGUAUAGGUACACCUGGUGCAGGACAAUGCGUUCUCCCUUUUCACCCUCCCUCUCUUUUCCUCUUUUGCGACUCCGAUACCAAUUCAUCUAUUCAUCAAAUUACCCCCCUUCUCUUUCACUCUCUCUCGCCCCAUGGAAACCCUACCCUCGAGCUACAAGGAGAACGACGAGGACGAGGAGCCAAUGUGGAGCGACGCCCUCGACCCCAUCCCAUCUCCUCCUUCUCCUCCUCCCUCCGCCGCCGCCGCCGCCGCCGCCGCCGAUGCCCCUCCUCUCCCCGCUCCUCCCUCCGCCUCCGCCUCGGCCUCGAAGAAGCCGAAGAAGAAGAGCAACAACGUGUGGACCAAGUCCACCUCCCGNCCCGAACCCCAAUCCAACGGCCACGCCUACCCAGCCGGCGCCGACGAUCCUCCCCCGCCGUCCGAUGACGACGCCGACGACCCCGACGACGACGACGACGACGACGACUCCGCCCCGGCGAGGAAGAAGCAGAAGCCCCUCUCCGCCUUCGCCUCCGCCGCCGCCGCCGCAGCCCCUCCUCUCCCCGCUCCUCCCUCCGCCUCCGCCUCGGCCUCGAAGAAGCCGAAGAAGAAGAGCAACAACGUGUGGACCAAGUCCACCUCCCGCAAGGGCAAGAAGAAGUCCAAGCCCUCCCCCCACGCCCCCGCCCCGGAGGACACCGUCCUCAUGACCCCGAUGCCCCGCGGCUUCCCUGACCGCUCCGACGACUCCCCCGACGCCCGCAUCUGCCUCUCCCGCAUCUACAAGGCCGAGAAGGUCGAGCUCAGCGACGACCGCCUCGCCGCGGGGAGCACCAAAGGCUACCGCAUGGUCCGCGCCACCCGCGGCGUGAUGGACGGCGCCUGGUUCUUCGAGAUCAGGAUCGUGCGGCUCGGGGAGACGGGCCACACCAGGCUUGGGUGGACCACCGACAAGGGCGAUCUACAGGCGCCCGUCGGGUACGACGGCCAUAGCUACGGCUACAGAGAUAUCGAUGGGACUAAGAUUCACAAGGCCUUGAGGGACAAGUAUGGGGAGGAGGCCUACACAGAGGGGGAUGUGAUUGGGUGUUAUAUUAGCCUCCCCGAUGGGGAGGCGUAUGCGCCGAAGCCGCCGCACCUGAUUUGGUACAAAGGGCAGAGGUACGUCUACUCGGCCGACGGCAAGGAUGAACCGCCCAAGGUAGUGCCUGGUGAGUUUCUUCCCUUGCCCAAAAUCUUUUUUUUUUUUUUUUUUUUCCUUUUAGCUAUUAUGAAUGUCUCGUCUCCUUUUCGGUAACUUUUGAAGUGUUCAUGUGUUGCUGUUUUACCUGUUUGUGUUAUAGGCUUUGUGAUCAUAUAUAUUGAUUAGCAUUGUAGAUUACACGCACACGAAUGCAUUUGAUGUUGUUGCACUUGUCCUUGUGUGAAUGAAUGUUAGUAGAAGGGACAUUAUUCUUACUAUUAAACUGUGAAAAAAAUCAAGGAGUAUUGUGUAGUUCUGUUUGCAAUUAACUUCUCUUUAAUUCUAAGCUGUAAUAGAAUGGGGGAGUGUUGCUAAAGUUUAUCUGUAAAUCAAGUUGUUUUUGGAGCUGUUGACCAUGGGUUGCAAUUGCACAGGAAUUGACUUUCAGCUUCCUACUCUUGUUUUAGUUUAUUCUUUGAUUUUUCUACCAAUUUUUUAUACAUUAUUAUCUAGAACUGAAAUGCUGUCGUCGUUCUUCCUUUCAAUAUUGGCUCAACGCGUGUCACUCGGGGAUGGCACGGUAUGGGCGGUGGUCCUGGAAUACCGAAUUGCUGUCCUAAGGGUACUGUUUAGCGACGAAAUAAGGAUUUAAGAUUUGUUGGAAAGAAAAGCACUUGUUCCCCAUUUAAAUGUUUCCUUUCUUGUGCUCAGCGUCCAUUCUCAAUCUGGUUUCAGAGCUUACUUGGAGUUGAACUUCUUCUUGCAACUGCUGAAACAUUUCGUAGUGAAUUGUUUCAUAAUGAGUUGAUUCUUUUCUUGCCCCUUCAGUUAUGUAGUAUUCUUCUGUUGUAUUUGUUUGGACAAAAGAAUGUUAUUAGAUUGUAGAUCACUUUGUGGCUGAAUAACUUUUUCUGAAUUUGAUCGCCGUAGAAUUAAAUCAGUCCUUAAUCUCUUAUUAUUCCAACUCUGCAGGGAGUGAGAUAUCUUUCUUCAAGAACGGGAUAUGCCAAGGUGUCGCCUUCACGGACCUUUUCGGUGGACGAUACUAUCCCGCGGCGUCCAUGUACACACUUCCUAACCAGCCCAACUGCGAGGUUCGGUUCAACUUCGGGCCUGAUUUCGAGUUUUUUCCGCAAGAUUUUGGUGGCCGUCCGACCCCCCGACCGAUGAUCGAGGUUCCUUAUCACGGCUAUGAUUGUAAGAUUGAUGGGCCUGCUGAAAAUGGCGUUGCAGAGAAAACUAGUUAAAUUCCAUCUUCUUUUAAGUUUUGUUUUGUUUUUUAACUCUGGGGGAAGAGCAGAGAUGAGGAGUGUUAGAAGAAGCCCUUUAAGUUGUACAUUAGAAGGUGUAAGGCUGGUAUAUUAGCUGAUUGCUGAUUUCUGAUUUUAACUUUUGCCUUUUCUAUUAUUUACUGACUUAUUUUCAAGCAAGAAGAUUUCGGCAAUUGAAGAGCAUCAUGUAUUUUUUUCUGAGAAUGACGUGUUUGCAUUAGGUAAAUUAACCCAUUGGUAAAUUUCACUCCGGUCGUCCAACUUCUAUUUAUCACAAUUGUUACUUGAUGGAAACAGAAAUCAAAGUUGUCAAUUGCAAUAAAUUAAUAGAUAGUAAACUAAGUGAAAUAUCAUCUUUAUCUCUGUCAUCGAAUCUGUAAUUUGCCCUGCUAACUUAUUUUUCAAAUUCUUUAUACUGGAGUAUAAUCUAAACAAGAAAAAUCAGGUUAAAAGACUUUACGUAAAAGCCAUAUUAACUCAAAUAUUGGUCUUCUUGUUUUUAAUUUCUUAUUAUUAGUGAGAUGAGGUCACUUUUGAUCAAGGACAAUUGAGAUUGCUGUUUUAUAUUUUAAAACUUGUUCUAAUUAGUUGUCUCAGCAAUUUCUUUCAGCCAGAAAGUGUUGCAAAAAAGGUGGACCUCACACCAAGCCAACACUUUUCCUUAUCUUUUCCUUUAUAGAUAGGAACAAAUGCUUCAGCAUUUGAAGCACCAAAAUAUCUCAGCAAGAGGAAUGUGUGAAGCCUAAAAAGGAAGCCUACUAUUGCAUUGUGUAUUGAAGACUCUGGUCUCCUGCUAUUGUUACUAUUGUUUUAUCUUCUUAGCAAGAUCAACAUAUGGUAAUGCAUGCAUGCACCUUGAAUUCCCCCUCCACCACUGCCACUCUCUCACUCCCUCUCCACCAUGCUUUGCUCUCCAAGCCCACACUCCAAUUUCCCCAAUCUCUGUCCUCGCCAUCAUCGCCAUCUCUCUCUCUUCCUCCCGUCAUCACCAACCAUACCACUUUUCACCUUGUAGUUGUGCCCGAGGACUCUCAGGCAAUCAGUGGGGUGAGUUCUUCAUCGCGGGAUUUUAGCGAAGGAAUCGCAAAGGAUAAUAAUAUUGUGCUGGAAAGGAGAAGGAAAAGGAGGUGGAGGAAAAGGACGAGGAGAAAGAAUGCUGAUUUGCGCUCAGAAUCGGAUGACGAGGAGGAGGAUGGGAGAAUGUUCAGGGCAGUAGAACAACGUCGUUUUUCGAAGGUGGAGAAAUCGAGAUAUCUUACACGAAGGCAGGAGGCACAAUUCUCUCUUUAUCUCAAGGUUGGUUGUUCAUCUUGGUAUACACAAGCUGCAAUUGUGAUUUGCUUGUUAUAGGUUUAUCUGGUUUUAAAGUUGCUCGUUAAUCACAUAAUUCUCACUUUCCAAUAGAGAGAUUGAGGAGAAAGAAUACAAAAUCUGAUGACCCUUUCAUUAUGUGACAUAGCUUUUCUGAGUCUCUAAGAGUUAUGAGCUGGUCGCAAACAUUACAUCCCAAUGUAAUUGGCACCAUGAAAGUAGUCAUGUAUCAUGUAAAUGGUAAAUCACAGUUUCAUAAAUUAAAUCUCAGUGUGACGGUCACUGCCAUAGGAUUAGAACGAAAACUCUAUUAUCUUAUCUUUUAUACUAGAAAAGCAGUCGAAAUAGUUACAAUAUAUGUCUAAAUGAGUGUAUGCAGGAGGAGGCCAUGCUAGAGAAAGAAAACAACCAAAUGGGGGAGUUCACUUCAACAACAUCAGCUGAGUUGAUAAGGAGAAGCAGCAGAGACAAAGCAUUGUUGAGAGCGCGAGAGAGUAGAGAGAGGAUCAUCCUCAGCUACAAGCGCCUCGUCGUCUCCAUUGCUUCUACCUACCAAGGCAGAGGACUCGGCCUUCAAGACCUCAUCCAGGCUAGUUAUCCAUUCUCUGAAAAACAAUUCUAAGAUCUGUUUAAAAUAUCAAAAUAAUGCAAUAUUGGCAUUAUUUGAUAUUGGCAGCAUGUCACCCCUUUAACUAAGUUAUCAUUGGUAAAAGUUAAAUCAUUUAACAACGCUGGUGUUGCACAAAGAAGGAUAGUUGAGAUAUGUAGCCAUAUGUACAUGUAAUAAUUUUCAUACUAUAUUCAAACUAGCUUUGAAUUGCGCUUCAAUUGGAAAGCAUACGAACCAUGAUCAAUCAAUGAUUCCAUAAGGGCAUGCAAUUUAAAUGCUAAUGUUGGAGCAGUAGCAGGUUUCAGCUAUCUGAUUGUUUGAAAUGUAUUUCAGGAAGGUUGCAUAGGACUUCUUCGAGGUGCGCAGAGAUUUGAUCACAAGAAAGGAUAUAAACUCUCGACUUACGUCUAUUGGUGGAUCAAGCAAGCGAUCGUCAGAGCCAUCGUUAACAAGUCAAGGAUUGUGAGAUUGCCGGUAAGUGAUUAUUUUUUUUUUUCCAUUUUCAUAGAAUUUCUUAAAUAAUAAAUGUUUUAUUUUUCCUCUUCUUCUGGUUGUGUCUAAUGACUAAUAAGUGCAAACCUAGCAUUUGUGUAGGGUAGCUUGUGUGAGGCGGCGAACAGAGUCGCAGAAGCUAAUUCGAUACUAAGAAGGCGAUUAGGGAGAUGGCCUACUUACGAAGAAAUCGCCGACUUUGUACAUGUAGGUGUUUCUAGUGUUCGAAUCAUUAGUGAGAGGAUUAGACAUCCGAUUUCGAUUGAUCAACCAGUGAACAAGGAAGGUUUGUCACUCAAGGUAAAAAGCUAAUUUCUUUUCUCAUUGCAUCCAUGAAACAAAAAAAAAAAAAAAAGGUUUGGGUUAGUGCUGUUCACUCUUUGGGUUUUUAGUUCUUCUACGAGUGUUAUGCGGUUUUCUUUAAUUUUGUUUAUGUCCAGGUUAUUUGCAAACUAUAUAUUUAUGGGUUAUAUUUGGCAACAUAAAACACAAAUGCAGGAGUUACUUUAAGUUCAUUUUAUUUUGAAUAAUUGAGUAUAUGAACUAAGCAACUCAAGGAAAGUAAAAGAAGCGAAAACAUAAAGAAUGCGCAUUGCGCACAUAUUAUUUUCUUUAUUCAAUCUUUAUUGCAGGAAAUUAUUCUGGGACCUGAUGAAAUACGACCGGAGACGAUUGUCACAAGACAAAUAAUACUGAGGACUUUGGAGGAGCUUCUCAAGACGCUGAGUGCGAGGGAAGAACACAUCAUGAGAUUACACUACGGUUUGAAUGGCGAAACAGCGCGAUCAUGCGAAGAGAUCGGGAAAUUGAUGAAUCUUUCCAGAGAGAGGAUUCGACAAAUUCAUGGCAAUGCAUUAGCAAGACUAAAGGAAGAGAAGGGUCUGAUAGAAAGCUUGUGGCAAAAUUCUUUAUAGAAAUUUCAUACAAAGUUAUCCAAGUCAUCAAUUAUAGGAUCAUUACGGAGACUAAUAAAAUUGGAGAAGCCAAAGCAGUAUCAAGUUCAUGUUCUUGUAUAAAAGUUUCUUCUUUUAUUUCUUCUCCGCAACUAUGUGUAGAAUUCACAGUCAUAGAAAAAUGUCUCUUUAAACAAAAAUUAUGUUUUUCUUUUCUGUUUUUUUUUUCUGGAUGUUCCAUGGUCUAAGCAUAAUCUGUUAGUUAUAAACUAGAGUGGUGGACAUCUAUUAUACGCUGUAAGUUACUUAUCUAUUGCUAAAUAGUCCCUGAAUAAACAAAAGUGCAAUACUAAUAUAAAAUAUCCUCCGGUUCUUAAGCUUAGAGAUAAAAAUUUAAAUAUCCAUUUGCACGGAUUAUGUCAACAAGAUAUUAGCACAAUAUAAUUUAUAUACUGAUGACACAGUUCAAAAUUUUUUAUUCUUUAAAUUAAUAAGUAAUUUUUCUAAUAAAGUUUAAAAAAUUUGAUAAAGAUAUAUAAUAAGCAAUUAAAAUAUUUUGGUGCUAAAAAAAAUAAAUAUUUUAUAUCAUUAUAUAUUGAUACAUAUGUAUUUUUUAUAAUCGGCACGCAUCAGCUCGGUGCGGCACGUACUGUGCCUUAUCGUGUUAAUAAAUUUUCUGCACUACUUAGUGUCAUAACACUUAAAUUUUUAUUAAGAGGUGUUUGGAUGAAAUAAGGGAACGAAGUCGAGAUCCACAAAAGUCCUCGUGAAUCAUGGACUUCGAGAACAUGCAGCAUCUUAUUGUUAGUAGGCGAAGGAAUAACCAUACAGAUACAACUUAUCAAAUUUAAAAACAAAGUUUAAACGAAGGACCAAUGUGCUAGAUACAAAAGGUUGGGAACCUAAUUACAAAUGAUACUGUUAGAAACUAUAAACGGUUAGGGAUUAGUAUUAGGCCAGGAUACAAAAGGUUAGGGACCUCGUUGCAAUAGUUUUUGUGUCGGAAACGGAAGUGCGAUAUCUCGAGCUGCUUGGGUACCAAAGUAACAAUUUACCCCGAACAAUUGGUUCUUCGAGUUCUACACAUACUACUCCUUUGGUUUCUCUCUCUCACCACCAUGAGCGGCGGCGUUGCGGCGAUCCGCGGCGGCUUCGACCACCCGAUGGGCGGCGACGGCGAGAGGAAGAAGCGCCGCGCCGAGGAGGAGGAGGAGGACGACGAGGACAACGAUGGGAGAGGCAUGGACGCGUGGGCGUGGGAGGCGCUCCAAGAGGACGAGGCGGGGCUCCUACGGCCCCUCGACUCCAAAACCCUAGUCCACGCCCAGUAUCGGAAGCGCCUCCUCCUCAGAUCCUCCGCUCCUUCCUCUUCCUCCUCUCGGAUUCAAAAGGGCCUCAUUCGGUACCUCUACGUCGUCUUCGAUCUCUCUCGGGUUCGUCUACGCCACGCUCUGUUUUUGAAUCGAAUCUGAUUAGAACUCAGUAGAUUUCAGUUAGAAGAACCACUUGAUUUGAUUCAACUAGAAAUGAAUGUUGCUGUUUGGAACAAAAUUGGAGUUGAAUUUGAUUCGAUGUGUGUCUGCUUUUCAUAAACAUAUUGUUGAUUAAAUAGUUAGAAAGCUAGUAUGUCUAUUUUACUAGGCCGGGUAUUUUUAAGCUUUUGAUACAUCAUAACUAACAUCAAAUGGAUUCUUAUCAAAUUCCAUCUCAAAUGAUGAAAUUUGAUUGUAUUUUGUGAGAUCCCGGGUCAAUUGAAAUCACAUUAACUAAUUUUUCUAAAUAAAACUAUAAUUCCAUUUUCGUAGAAUUCGUGGAUUUGAGACAGCGGAAUUGGGUGUUAGUUUUAGUCGUUGGUGUGAUUCUGGUGGUAUUGAUUUAUUUAGUGUGGCAUGGAACCUUGCGUUAUAAAGUUAGAAGACAUAUCUUGAUAGGGAAAAGCGAGGGUUUUGGGGUUUAACUAUGCUUAUCUUUUGUGUCUGAACCAUAACUAGACCUCUUAUUCAUCUUGGAUGAAUUUGAUAUAUCCUGCUUAUCUAUUAUACCCGUGUUUUCACACUAAUUUUUAACUACUGUAGGCAGCUUCAGAGACAGAUUAUCGCCCUAGUCGAAUGGUGGUGGUCGCUAAAUGUGCCGAGGCAUUCAUCAGGGAGUUCUUCGAUCAAAACCCAUUGAGCCAUAUCGGUCUCGUGACAAUAAAAGACGGUGUUGCUCAACGGCUAACAGAUAUAGGAGGUAGUCCAGAGUCACAAAUUAAGGCAUUGAUGGGAAAGCUCGAAUGUUCUGGCGAUGCUUCCUUGCAGAAUGCCCUAGAACUUGUUCAUGGAUAUCUGAACCAAAUCCCUUCUUAUGGCCACCGCGAAGUCUUAAUCCUGUAUUCUGCUCUCAAUACCUGCGAUCCAGGGGAUAUAAUGGAGACAAUUCAGAAAUGCAAGCAGGCUAAGAUUAGGUGCUCAGUUAUUGGCCUAGCAGCUGAGAUUUUCAUAUGUAAGCAUUUGUGUGAGGAGACCGGAGGAUCCUAUACUGUGGCUCUGGAUGAGGUAAGCAUCAUCUGCUUAUCCUGUUACCUUUGGUACAGAUCAGUUCAAGAAUAACAUUAAUGGGGACACAAUAGGAUAAUAAGUAAAAAUGUAUGGGGGCACCCUCAACUGUAGGCCAUUUUGAGUUACACUGCCCAACCAUUGUUGUUGUUGUUGAUAUCUUCUCAAUUUUUGCAUGUUUUGAUUGGAAUUAUUUUCAUCAAAUAAUGGCUUUUUUCGGCAGUUCAUUCUUAUUGUUAUCAGAGCGUAUAGUUCAUCAGCUGAAACUUAAUCAAAAUGAAGAAUAACUGAAUAAGUUGAUGGGUUGCCAAUAGAAAAAGCUGGAGAGUCUACUUCAAAUCUUCAUACAUAUUGAGUUUUCUUAUGUCAUAAUGGCCUGUAGCCUAUAGUCCAUCACCUGUACAUAUAGAGGGAUAACAGUAGUGUUUGCACAGAACUGUACCAAUGAGUGUUGGAAAAGUUGUUCUUCAGUUAUCUUAGAACAGCCCUGUCUGACUGUAAUAAUCGACUUUUUAUCUUGUUUAGCAAAACAAGGGGGAUAAUCUGAGUUGUCAUGUAACUCAUGUUGUGUGUGAGACUAAUGUAGCCUUCUGAAUAUGUGCACACUGUAUUGAAGUAACAUGACAUAUAUUUAUCCUUGCAGUCACAUUUCAAGGAAUUGUUACUGGAGCACGCUCCUCCACCCCCUGCGAUAGCAGAAUAUGCCGCUGCUAAUUUGAUCAAGAUGGGGUUUCCUCAGAGAGGGGCAGAGGGUGUUAUCUCUAUUUGUUCAUGCCACAAGGAAAUAAAGGUUGGCGGUGGCUAUACUUGUCCGAGAUGCAAGGCCCGUGUAUGUGAGCUGCCCGCUGAGUGUAAAAUUUGUGGAUUGACGCUGGUCUCUUCUCCUCACCUAGCGAGAUCUUACCACCAUCUUUUCCCUGUAACACCAUUUGAUGAAGUAUCAUCUAUGUUUUCAAGCAAAUUGAAUCAGAAGGCACCACAAACUUGUUAUAGUUGCCAAGAGAGCCUCGCCGGCCACGGUAAGCAUAGAUUCUUAGAGUUCUUACUGUCAUACCUUAGCUUAUAUACAUACAUAAUCUCGUGCAUGCUGCAGACAUGCAUACAUACAGACAUUCAAUGAGGCAUCCUCCAUGUUUUUGGAGCUUGUUAUGUGGAUAUGCAUUAAGAGAUCUCAACAUUGUCCCUUUUAAUGGUUGAUUCAAGGUGUUUUGUCUCUCUUUAACAGUCAAACAUGAUUGGAAUUUGGUCAACUUUUGUUACAGAGAGUUAUUGGAUGUCUAGAUCAAGAAUAAUGGGUCUAAUUUCCCAUUGGGUGAUAGUAUACUAUGCUCGAGAAGCAUGUUCAAUUAACGCUCUGCAAACUUCAGCCCAGUUGGUGCAUGGGUUAAAGAGCUCCAAAGCUUACGAAAUUUUGUAUCUUGAUAUCUCAAACAGCUUAAAUCACAUUUAACAGUACGACUCGUUAGCCUUCAAAAGAAUCAGCUGGGUUCUUCUCUCCAUUAGUGGAGUUGUUUAUGUUUGCAAUAUAACAUCAAUGUGUUCUUCUUCUUCUUCUUUUUACCCUUUAUCAAUGAGUGCCUCCUUUUAUUUUGUUUAUUAAUCAUCGAAGUUGCUCUGUUCUAGUAUUCUGCUGUUCGACCGAAACAGUUGACACGAAUCAUCAAACUGACUCAUUUAAGUUCUUUUUAGUCGACAGAAAUCAUCAAACGACAGAAAUCAUCAAACUGACUCAUUUAAGUCCCUUUUAUAACUGCGAAUUCUUUGCAGGGAAUAAAUCCAAUCUCCACGUUACCUGUCCGAAGUGCAACCAACACUUUUGCCUCAACUGCGAUAUCUACAUUCACGAGAGCUUGCACAAUUGUCCCGGUUGCGAGAGCCACCGGAGCUUGCCUAUGUAAGAGCUUGAGUUAUUUUUUUUCUUCUUUUCUUUUUCUCUUUUAAAAAAAAAAAAAAAAAUUAAUGUAGCAUGGGGACGGUUAUUUAUUUGAUGCCAUUUUAAAGAAGCCAGAAUUAAGAGCCAAUGUAAUUUGACCAACUCAAUGUUGCUGCAUUAAAGGUUUGUAUUUAAUGCUAUAGAGCAGCUCCAGUUUUUCGUUUUGGAGUAAUGUCCAAAAUUUACUUGAAAAUUUUCCUCCCCUCUUAAUGAGUAAUUAAUUUUGUUAAAAGCACGUAUCAUUUUCUUUGUUUUUUGUGAAUCUGCCUGUAGGCCCCUAAAUUAAACGCCUGAUGCAAGAUUUAAAUGAAUAAACAUGGUAAUGUCUCACUCAAACAACUGAAAUUGUUGCGUUCCUUUGAAUCCCAAGAACAAAACAUCGAAGAUGUGAAGUACUAGUUAUUAUAUUAUAAACUUGAAAUCUUAUAAAUAAAGGGAGAUCUUAUUUUUAAAUUAUAUGCUCGUCCGCAUGAGCCCAAACUUUCAAAAAAAAGAAAGAAAAGUUACUAGUACAGAAUGAAUCAAAAAUACACAUACAUUGCUCAGCACAAUAAGCAAGCAAAUCAAUUCAGAGCUGGACUUUGCCACUCAAUUCCUAAGCAGCUGCAAUCAAAUUCUGUUUUGACUCUGUUCAAAGCAGCUUCUCUAUGCUGCAAAACCGGAUUUACAGCAUUUUCUUCUUUCUUUUUCCGCGACAUUUUUCUCGAGAUGCUCUUCCACAGGGAUUCAAACCUGCACGCUAAAAGAUAAAACGAAAAAGUCUAAAUCAACAAGGAAUCCUGACACGGAAACAAAACGAGUGAAAAAUCUUUGUAUAUCACGAAUGUGGUUCACUAAAUGAUGCAAAAAGCUAACAACAUCAAUCAUCAAGUAUUUUCCGGAAACAAAAGUUAAAACUGCAACUGAUGCGAUAGUAAAAGAUGCAUGAGAAUUAAACCAGAGAAGAACAGAGAAGAGAUCUUAUUAUUUAUUAUUACCUUCGCUUCGGUCCACGAAUCCUCGGAUGAUGCAUGCAAGAGACCAAGGCCUUCCUGCAGAUGCAGCUUUCGCCCCGCCUUUGAUCUCGCCGUUAUGUUGUUUCAAACUGGAUAAGCAUCAUUUUUUAUUUUAUUUUAUUUUUUUAUAAUCCUAUUCAAUGGAUCGUAUUUGGGGGGCAAUAUGCAGCGAUAGAUGUACGUAAACAUGCAAUUUUUGCCGACCAACAUUUAAAUAUUUAAAACAAGUGUAAAUCACGUGAGAUAAUCCAAUCAAAUUGGUUAAAAAUGAAUGUUAUAUGCUCAAAUUCAAGGAUACAUUAAUCUAAAACAACACGAAGCUCAUAUAAAAUUAGCUCAAAAGGAACAACUUGCAGGAUGAAUUCUAAUAGAUCCAAUUCAUUAAACAAACAAACAAAAAAAAAGGGGACAAAUUCGCAGAGAAAUAAGAGAGAGAGAGAGAGAAAAAAAAAAAAAAAGAUGAGAUCGAAAUUACCGGCGCACGAAAUUCGUGGUGACCCCGACGUAGGAGCGGUUCAAUCGGGAUGAGAGGAUGAGGUAGACGCACCAUUCGCUUUUAGGGCAUCGGCUUCUUCGUCCCCCGCGACCGGGGGUGAGAGACGAGGACGAAGACGAGGACGAGGGAGAGGAAGCAACUGCGGUGGGAGAAAGCGCUUUUGGGGGAAGCCGAUGAGAGGCGGGUUUGGUGGAUCGGAAGCGCGUCGAGAGCUGCUUCCUCAUCGUCGUCGAUCGAACGACACACGAAGGAUCGAUGGAUCUUUUUUUUUUUUCUUUUUUUUCUUUCUUUGUUCGUUAUUUUUUUUAAAAAAAAAAAUUAUCAUCUCACGGUUUCUUCUUCGUUGUUUCAAGUAACUGCUUUUGGCUUUUCGGAGUCGGGGCUAAGGAAAAGCGCUUUUCGGAGAAGCUGAUGAGGGACUUUGGUGGAUCACUGGAUUGGUAUAAAAAUAUUAUAUUUUUAUUUUAAUAAAAUUUAAAUAGAUUUUAUUUUGCGUCGGUUCUGUAAUUACAACAAAAAAAACAAAAAAAAUCACUUUUUUUUGGUUUGAUUUCACUUCUAAUACUUUAUUUUAUCCCAAAAAAAUAAAAAAUAACUACUUGGAUUCGUUGAGAUUUGCUCAAACUCAACUGAGCAAAUUCUACGAAUAGACUAGAUUUGAGACUGAUCAUAAACCAACUUAAAAAUCACAAUCCAAAUGCGCCAUGAUUGGGCUUUUUUCUAACUUUGUUUUCCCUUCAACCUCUGUUUUUAUUAUCUGUAUUUUACUUUACAGCAGAAUUAAAAAUAUGAAGCAAUAACAUUUGUUUUGAGACUAAUUUAUUAUUAUUUUUAUUUUUAUUUUACUAUAAGUAAGAAAUUUAAUUUUUUAAUUAAAUAUUGGCUAAAAUUUUGGUCUAUGUCAAGGCCCAUGGCCAUGGCUAAAUUCAAAAGCAUUCUCGCUGGCCAGCUUGUUUGUCCGCUAGUCAUGACAUGGCGGUGAAGCAAAGAACGUUUACCACAAGCCAUGCAUGGUCUCUUCUUGGAAUUCAAAUACAUAAUACAUACGUGAUACGUUUGUGUGUAUAUAUAUAGAGUACGCCUUGUGUACUUUCGAAAGUACGGAGUCAUCCAUAUUUAUAAAUUAUUUUCGAUAAUAAGACAUUCGAUUCGACGAUUAAAUAUAAUCUACUUUAUUAGAAUUAUUUAGAAAUCAAAUUUUAUAAUUUUUUGGCAUCAUUUAUCAAACGAUCAAAAUGUCUCAAAAAUAACUAUUUUAACUAUCGAUAUGACAUGUUUUAAGUUUAACGGUGUAGAAGUAUUCAAAUUAUAUAAAAACUUAAUAAAAAAUUUUACUUAACAUCGAUAGCAAGAUCAAUACUUUCGAUUUAAAAUUUGAAUCAUUUAUCACUGUUUUUUAUGAGAUUUUUAUUUUCAGUCAUUCAUUUUGAGGCUACUCAUUUAUUAGACAAACAAAAUCAAAAAAUUAUGAAAUUUGGUUUCCAGAUAUUUUCAAUAGCGUAGAUUAUAUCUAAUAGAACCGAUCGCUGAAUCGGAUGUCUUAUCAUCGAAAAUAAUUUAUAAGUACGGAAGCCUCCGUAUUUUUAAAAAUACAGAAGCCUGGCUCUCUAUCUCUCUCUCUCUCUCUCUCUCUCUAUAUAUAUAUAGAAUUAUAUAUAUAUAUAUAUAUAUAUAUAUAUAUCUAUAAAGUUCGAAAGAUUUGAUAAAAAUACAUAAUAAAUAAUUGACUUAUUUUGUUGCUAAAGAAAAUAAAUAUUUCAUNAUAGCGUGUUAGGUACAAAGUGUACAAUUACGUGCUCUAUGUAGAUGCUGUGGUUUACUCUCUCGGUCUUUAAUUUAAUUUUAUUUAAUUUUAUUUUAUUUUUUGGCGCUUUGGUAGAUACCCCAAAUUAAACACUGCACAUGGAGCUGGGGCAUGCUGUGCUUGUCCUUCUUCGUACCUGGAGAUCCGGUUGGUCGGCCACUCCGAUUCGAACAUGAUCAGACUUUUCUUAUUUUUUGUUAUCUUUGCUUCUAUGGAGUCGAAAACUAGUUAGCUUCUAUCCAACAUAUUGAUCUAAUAAAAAACGAUUCAAAGCAAGUUUGAUAUCAUGUUAGAUAAAAAAAACAUGACGAUUUAAUCGAUUAAACGAUCCGACUAGACACACUGAACUAUCUCAUGUGCCCAACCGAUCGAUUUGAUAAAUANACAUUUGUUUUGAGACUAAUUUAUUAUUAUUUUUAUUUUUAUUUUACUAUAAGUAAGAAAUUUAAUUUUUUAAUUAAAUAUUGGCUAAAAUUUUGGUCUAUGUCAAGGCCCAUGGCCAUGGCUAAAUUCAAAAGCAUCCUCGCUGGCCAGCUUGUUUGUCCGCUAGUCAUGACAUGGCGGUGAAGCAAAGAACGUUUACCACAAGCCAUGCAUGGUCUCUUCUUGGAAUUCAAAUACAUAAUACAUACGUGAUACGUGUGUGUAUAUAUAGAGUACGCCUUUUGUACUUUCAAAAGUACGGAGUCCUUCAUACUUAUAAGUUAUUUUCGAUAAUAAGACAUCUGAUUCGACGAUUAAAUAUAAUCUAUCUUAUUAGAAUUAUUUAGAAAUCAAAUUUUAUAAUUUUUUGACAUCAUUUAUCAAACGAUCAAAAUAUCUCAAAAAUAACUAUUUUAACAAUCGAUGUGUCAUAUUUUAAGUUCAACGGUGUAGAAAUAUCCAAAUUAUAUAAAAAUUUAAUAAAAAAUUUUACUUAACAUCGAUAGCAAGAUCAAUACUUUCGAUUUAAAAUUUGAAUCAUUUAUCACUAUUUUUUAUGAGAUUUUUAUUUUCAGCCAUUCAUUUUGAAGCUACUCAUUCACUAGACAAACGAAAUCAAAAAAUUAUAAAAUUUGAUUUCCAGAUAUUUCCAAUAGCUGAAUCGGAUGUCCUAUCAUCGAAAAUAAUUUAUAAGUACGGAAGCCUCCGUACUUUUAAAAAUAUAGAAGCCUAGCUCUCUCUCUCUCUAU
rnacentral:lncRNA from 1 species